rnacentral:rRNA from 1 species
AGGCAGCAGUUAGGAAUCUUCCGCAAUGGGCGCGAGCCUGACGGAGCGACGCCGCUUGGAGGAAGAAGCCCUUCGGGGUGUAAACUCCUGAACCCGGGACGAAACCCCCGACGAGGGGACUGACGGUACCGGGGUAAUAGCGCCGGCCAACUCCGUGCUAGCAGCCGCGGUAAUACGGAGGGCGCGAGCGUUACCCGGAUUCACUGGGCGUAAAGGGCGUGUAGGCGGUCUGGGGCGUCCCAUGUGAAAGACCACGGCUCAACCGUGGGGGAGCGUGGGAUACGCUCAGGCUAGACGGUGGGAGAGGGUGGUGGAAUUCCCGGAGUAGCGGUGAAAUGCGCAAAUACCGGGAGGAACGCCGAUGGCGAAGGCAGCCACCUGGUCCACCCGUGACGCUGAGGCGCGAAAGCGUGGGGAGCAAACCGGAUUAGAUACCCGAGUAGUCC